CCUACGGGUGGCAGCAGUGAGGAAUAUUGGUCAAUGGGCGCGAGCCUGAACCAGCCAAGUAGCGUGAAGGAUGAAUGCCCUACGGGUUUUAAACUUCUUUUAUAAAGGAAUAAAGUGAGGCACCUAUGCCUUAUUGACUGGACUUUAUGAAUAAGGAACGGCUAACUCCGUGCCAGCAGCCGCGGUAAGACGGAGGAUCCGAGCGUUAUCCGGAUGUAUUGGGUUUAAAGGGAGCGUAGGUGGGUUGUUAAGUCAGUUGUGAAAGUUUGCGGCUCAACCGUAAAACUGCAAUUGAUACUGGCAGCCUUGAGUACAGGAGAGGUAGGCGGAAUUCGUGGUGUAGCGGUGAAAUGCGUAGAUAUCACGAGGAACUCCGAUUGCGAAGGCAGCUUACUAGACUACAACUGACGUUGAUGCGCGAAAGUGUGGGUAGCAAACAGGAGUAGAUACCCCAGUAGUC
rnacentral:rRNA from 1 species